AUUGAACGCUGGCGGAAUGCUUUACACAUGCAAGUCGAACGGCAGCACGGACUUCGGUCUGGUGGCGAGUGGCGAACGGGUGAGUAAUGUAUCGGAACGUGCCCAGUCGUGGGGGAUAACGUAGUGAAAAUUACGCUAAUACCGCAUACGAUCUAUGGAUGAAAGCGGGGGAUCGCAAGACCUCGCGCGAUUGGAGCGGCCGAUAUCAGAUUAGGUAGUUGGUGGGGUAAAGGCCCACCAAGCCAACGAUCUGUAGCUGGUCUGAGAGGACGACCGGCCACACUGGAACCGAAACACGGUCCAGACUCCUACGAGCGGCAGCAGUGGGGAAUUAUGGACAAUGGGCGAAAGCCUGUUCCAGCCAUUCCGCGUGCAGGAUGAAGGCCCUCGGGUUGUAAACUGCUUUUGUACAGAACGAAAAUGUUUCUACUAAUACUAGGAGCUCAUGACGGUACUGUAAGAAUAAGCACCGGCUAACUACGUGCCAGCCGCCGCAGUAA
rnacentral:rRNA from 1 species